rnacentral:rRNA from 1 species
GUCCACACAGUAACGAUGGAUACUCGCUGCCGGCGAUAUAAUGUCGGUGGCUUAGCGAAAGCGUUAAGUAUCCCACCUGGGAGUACGCCGGCAACGGUGAAACUCAAAGGAAUUGACGGGGCCCGCACAAGCGGAGGAACAUGUGGUUUAAUUCGAUGAUACGCGAGGAACCUUACCCAGGCUCGAACGGCAAGCUGAAUGUUACCAGAGAUGGUUUCAGUCUUCGGACAGUUUGUCGAGGUGCUGCAUUGUUGUCGU